ACGUAUCCAACCUGCCGUCUACUCUUGGACAGCCUUCUGAAAGGAAGAUUAAUACAAGAUGGCAUCAUGAGUCCACAUGUUCACAUGAUUAAAGGUAUUCCGGUAGACGAUGGGGAUGCGUUCCAUUAGAUAGUAGGCGGGGUAACGGCCCACCUAGUCUUCGAUGGAUAGGGGUUCUGAGAGGAAGGUCCCCCACAUUGGAACUGAGACACGGUCCAAACUCCUACGGGAGGCAGCAGUGAGGAAUAUUGGUCAAUGGGCGAGAGCCUGAACCAGCCAAGUAGCGUGAAGGAUGACUGCCCUAUGGGUUGUAAACUUCUUUUAUAAAGGAAUAAAGUCGGGUAUGGAUACCCGUUUGCAUGUACUUUAUGAAUGAGGAUCGGCUAACUCCGUGCCAGCAGCCGCGGUAAUACGGAGGAUCCGAGCGUUAUCCGGAUUUAUUGGGUUUAAAGGGAGCGUAGAUGGAUGUUUAAGUCAGUUGUGAAAGUUUGCGGCUCAACCGUAAAAUUGCAGUUGAUACUGGAUAUCUUGAGUGCAGUUGAGGCAGGCGGAAUUCGUGGUGUAGCGGUGAAAUGCUUAGAUAUCACGAAGAACUCCGAUUGC
rnacentral:rRNA from 1 species